rnacentral:rRNA from 1 species
UAGCGUAGGGUGCGAGCGUUUAAUCGGAAUUACUGGGCGUAAAGCGUGCGUAGACGGUUCUGUAAGUCGGAUGUGAAAUCCCCGGGCUCAACCUGGGAAUUGCAUUCGAUACUGGAUAGCUAGAGUUCGGCAGAGGGAAGCGGAAUUUCCGGUGUAGCGGUGAAAUGCGUAGAUAUCGGAAGGAACAUCAGUGGCGAAAGCGGCUUCCUGGACCAGAACUGACGAUCAGGCACGAAAGCGUGGGGAGCAAACAGG